rnacentral:rRNA from 1 species
UCGCCUGUUUAUCAAAAACAUGGUUUUUUGUUUAUAUAAAAAAUUUGGCCUGCCCAGUGAUUAUUAAAUGGCUGCAGUAUAUUGACUGUACAAAGGUAGCAUAAUCAUUUGUCUCUUAAUUGGAGUCUGGAAUGAAUGGUUGGAUGAAAAAUUUACUUUCUUUAUUUUAAAUAAAUAAUUUGAUUUUUGUAUUAAAAAGUAUAAAUAUUAAUAAAGGACGAGAAGACCCUAUAGAACUUUAUUUUUCUAUAUUAAUUAUUUUUUAGUAAAUGAUUAUUAAUUAAUAGUAGAAAAUUUUGUUGGGGUGACAAAAAAAAAUUUAUAACUUUUCUUAAUUUUUUCAUAUAUAUAUGAUUUAUUGAUCUUUUAUUAAGGAAAAAAGAUUAAGUUACCUUAGGGAUAACAGCGUUAUUAUUUCAGAGAGUUCAUAUUGAUGAAAUAGUUUGCGACCUCGAUGUGGAUUAAACUUAAUUUCAGGAGUAGAAAAUUGAAAUAUUAGGUCUGUUCGACC